rnacentral:rRNA from 1 species
CUGCAGCCCGAGUGGUGACCGAUAUUAUUGAGCCUAAAGCGUCCGUAGCCGGACUAGUAAACCCUUGGGUAAAUUGGGCAGCUUAACUGUCCGAAUUCCGAGGGGACUGCUAGUCUUGGGACCGGGAGAGGUCAGAGGUACUCAAGGGGUAGGGGCUAAAUCCUGUAAUCCUUUGGGGACCACCAGUGGCGAAGGCGUCUGACUAGAACGGAUCCGACGGUAAGGGACGAAACCCUGGGGCGCGAACCGGAUUAGAGACCCGAGUAGUCC